GCCUCCUUAGCUCAGAUGGCCAGACUGUCUUGUAAACAGAGGGUCGCCGGUUCGAAUCCGGCAGGGGGCUCCA
rnacentral:tRNA from 1 species